CGUAGGGUGCAAGCGUUAAUCGGAAUUACUGGGCGUAAAGCGUGCGCAGGCGGUUAUGUAAGACAGGUGUGAAAUCCCCGGGCUUAACCUGGGAACUGCAUUUGUGACUGCAUAGCUAGAGUACGGUAGAGGGGGGAUGGAAUUCCGCGUGUAGCAGUGAAAUGCGUAGAUAUGCGGAGGAACACCGAUGGCGAAGGCAAUCCCCUGGACCUGUACUGACGCUCAUGCACGAAAGCGUGGGGAGCAAACAGGAUUAGAUACCCUGGUAGUCCACGCCCUAAACGAUGUCAACUGGUUGUUGGGUCUUCACUGACUCAGUAACGAAGCUAACGCGUGAAGUUGACCGCCUGGGGAGUACGGCCGCAAGGUUG
rnacentral:rRNA from 1 species